rnacentral:rRNA from 1 species
CGCAAGCCUGACGGAGCAAGACCGCGUGGGGGAUGACGGCCUAAUGGUUGUAAACCCCUUUUCUCUGGGAAGAAGACUGACGGUACCAGAGGAAUCAGCCUCGGCUAACUCCGUGCCAGCAGCCGCGGUAAUACGGAGGAGGCAAGCGUUAUCCGGAAUUAUUGGGCGUAAAGCGUCCGCAGGGGGCACAUCAAGUCUGCUGUUAAAGGCUGGAGCUUAACUCCGUAGAGGCAGUGGAAACUGAGUGACUAGAGUGCGGUAGGGGUCGAGGGAAUUCCCAGUGUAGCGGUGAAAUGCGUAGAUAUUGGGAAGAACACCAGUGGCGAAAGCGCUCGACUGGGCCUGCACUGACACUGAGGGACGAAAGCUAGGGGAGCG